rnacentral:rRNA from 1 species
AUUGAACGCUGGCGGCAGGCCUAACACAUGCAAGUCGAGCGGAGCGGCAGACGGGUGAGCAAUGCCUAGGAAUCUGCCUGGUAGUGGGGGAUAACGUUCGGAAACGGGCGCUAAUACCGCAUACUAUCAGAUGAGGUUAGGUCGGAUUGGCUAGUUGGUGGGGUAAAGGCCUACCAUGGCGACGGUCCGGAACUGGUCUGAGAGGAUGAUCAGUAACACUGGAACUGAGACACGGUCCAGACUCCUACGGGAGGCAGCAGUGGGGAAUAUUGGACAAUGGGCGAAAGCCUGAUCCAGCCAUGCCGCGUGGGUGAAGAAGGUCUUCGGAUUGUAAAGCACUUUAAGUUGGGAGGCGUUACCAACAGAAUAAGCACCGGCUAACUUCGUGCCAGCAGCCGCGGUAAUUC